rnacentral:rRNA from 1 species
CUCAGGAUGAACGCUGGCGGCGUGCCUAAUACAUGCAAGUCGAACGCUUCACUUCGGUGAAGAGUGGCGAACGGGUGAGUAAUACAUAAGUAACCUGGCAUCUACAGGGGGAUAACUGAUGGAAACGUCAGCUAAGACCGCAUAGGUGUAGAGAUCGCAUGAACUCUAUAUGAAAAGUGCUACGGGACUGGUAGAUGAUGGACUUAUGGCGCAUUAGCUGGUUGGUAGGGUAACGGCCUACCAAGGCGACGAUGCGUAGCCGACCUGAGAGGGUGACCGGCCACACUGGGACUGAGACACGGCCCAGACUCCUACGGGAGGCAGCAGUAGGGAAUUUUCGGCAAUGGGGGAAACCCUGACCGAGCAACGCCGCGUGAAGGAAGAAGUAAUUCGUUAUGUAAACUUCUGUCAUAGAGGAAGAACGGUGGAUAUAGGGAAUGAUAUCCAAGUGACGGUACUCUAUAAGAAAGCCACGGCUAACUACGUGCCAGCAGCCGCGGUAAUACGUAGGUGGCGAGCGUUAUCCGGAAUUAUUGGGCGUAAAGAGGGAGCAGGCGGCACUAAGGGUCUGUGGUGAAAGAUCGAAGCUUAACUUCGGUAAGCCAUGGAAACCGUAGAGCUAGAGUGUGUGAGAGGAUCGUGGAAUUCCAUGUGUAGCGGUGAAAUGCGUAGAUAUAUGGAGGAACACCAGUGGCGAAGGCGACGAUCUGGCGCAUAACUGACGCUCAGUCCCGAAAGCGUGGGGAGCAAAUAGGAUUAGAUACCCUAGUAGUCCACGCCGUAAACGAUGAGUACUAAGUGUUGGGAGUCAAAUCUCAGUGCUGCAGUUAACGCAAUAAGUACUCCGCCUGAGUAGUACGUUCGCAAGAAUGAAACUCAAAGGAAUUGACGGGGGCC